rnacentral:rRNA from 1 species
AAGUCGUAACAAGGUCUCCGUAGGUGAACCUGCGGAGGGAUCAUUACCGAGUGGAGGGCGCUCGCCGCCCGACCUCCCAACCCUUUGAUUUGAUCAAGACCUCCUUCUGCCUCGGGGGUGACCCGGCCUCCGCGCCGCGGUCCCCCCGGCCGGCACCUCUCUCAACCCUGCAUCAAUUGUCGUCGGAUGUUUACUUGAUAAAUUCAAUCAAAACUUUCAACAACGGAUCUCUUGGUUCUGGCAUCGAUGAAGAACGCAGCGAAAUGCGAUAAGUAAUGUGAAUUGCAGAAUUCAGUGAAUCAUCGAAUCUUUGAACGCACAUUGCGCCCUUUGGCAUUCCGAAGGGCAUGCCUGUUCGAGCGUCAUUACACCAAUCAAGCCUGGCUUGGUAUUGGGCGACGGGGGCCGUCACACGCCCCCGCGCCCCAAAGACCCGACCGGCGGGACGGACCAAAUCUCAGCGUUGUGCAAACAGAGUCGCUGGCGAGAUGGGACGGCCGUGCCGUUAAAGCACCCCUUUUCUGUAAUGUUGACCUCGGAUCAGGUAGGGAUACCCGCUGAACUUAA